rnacentral:lncRNA from 1 species
AAAGGAAUACUAGGGGUUCAGGCUCAGAUUUCGUGUUGUUACCCUCGUAACUGUUGUUCAAUUUAAAUAUCGGGGGUAUUUCUUUUGGACACCAUUCUUGUUGAAUUCAUUGGCUCAUAUAUUUUCUUUUGUUACUCUUUUGAGGAUGCUUUUUACCAACCUUAAUACUUCUAGAUAACUGCUUCAUGAUAUUUUUUCUUUUCUUUUCUUUGAAAUAUAUAUUUUUUUCUCUUUGCACUUAUCUACCAUUCAUCGGUGUCCUCAACA